ACGAUCAGUAGCCGACCUGAGAGGGUGAUCGGCCACAUUGGAACUGAGACACGGUCCAAACUCCUACGGGAGGCAGCAGGGGGGAAUAUUGCACAAUGGGAGCAAGCCCGAUGCAGCAACGCCGCGUGCGUGAUGUAGGCCUUCGGGUCGUAAAACUCUGUCCCCAAGGACGAUAGUGACGGUACUUGCGGAGGAAGCCCCGNCUAA
rnacentral:rRNA from 1 species